AAAGGAGGUUUUUACUGGCGAACGGGUGAGUAACACGUAAGUAACCUGCCUUUAAGACGAGGAUAACAACCGGAAGGUUACUAAGACUGGAUAGGAAACAAAAAGGCAUCUUUUUGUUUUUAAAAGACCUUCUUACGAAGGUAUGCUUAAAGAGGGGCUUGCGCCACAUUAGUUAGUUGGUAGAGUAAAAGCCUACCAAGACGAUGAUGUGUAGCUGGACUGAGAGGUUGAACAGCCACAUUGGGACUGAGACACGGCCCAAACUCCUACGGGAGGCAGCAGUAGGGAAUUUUCGGCAAUGGAGGAAACUCUGACCGAGCAACGCCGCGUGAACGAUGAAGUAUUUCGGUAUGUAAAGUUCUUUUAUUGAAGAAGAAAAAGUAGUGGAAAAACUAUAUUGACGUUAUUCAAUGAAUAAGCCCCGGCUAACUAUGUGCCAGCAGCCGCGGUAAGACAUAGGGGGCGAGCGUUAUCCGGAAUUAUUGGGCGUAAAGGGUGCGUAGGCUGUUAGAUAAGUCUAUAAUYUAAUUUCAGUGCUUAACGCUGUCUUGUUAUAGAAACUGUCUUGACUAGAGUGAGAUAGAGGCAAGCGGAAUUCCAUGUGUAGCGGUAAAAUGUGUAAAUAUAUGGAGGAACACCAGAAGCGUAGGCGGCUUGCUGGGUCUUUACUGACGCUGAGGCACGAAAGCGUGGGUAGCAAMCAGGAUUAGAUACCCUGGUAGUCCACGCCGUAAACGAUGAGUACUAAGUGUCGGGGUAAAACUCGGUACUGAAGUUAACACAUUAAGUACUCCGCCUGAGUAGUACGUACGCAAGUAUGAAACUUAAAGGAAUUGACGGGACUCCGCACAAGCGGUGGAUCAUGUUGUUUAAUUCGAAGAUACACGAAAAAUCUUACCAGGUCUUGACAUACUCUGCAAAGCUAUAGAAAUAUAGUGGAGGUUAUCAGGGAUACAGGUGGUGCAUGGUUGUCGUCAGUUCGUGUCGUGAGAUGUUAGGUUAAGUCCUAAAACGAACGCAACCCUUGUCGUUAAUUGCCAGCACAUAAUGGUGGGGACUUUAACGAGACUGCCAAUUAAACAUUGGAGGAAGGUGAGGAUUACGUCAAAUCAUCAUGCCCCUUAUGAUCUGGGCUACAAACGUGAUACAAUGGCUGUGACAAAGAGUAGCUGAAACGCGAGUUUUUAGCCAAUCUCAAAAAAGCAGUCUCAGUUCGGAUUGAAGUCUGUAACUCGACUUCAUGAAGUUGGAAUCGCUAGUAAUCGCGAAUCAGCAUGUCGCGGUGAAUACGUUCUCGGGGUUUGUACACACCGCCCGUCAAACCACGAAAGUUAGCAAUGCCCGAAAGCACGUAGCUUAACUUCGCAAGAAGAGGUAA
rnacentral:rRNA from 1 species